rnacentral:tRNA from 1 species
GUUAGAGAAAAAUGAUUGUAAAUCAUUUAAUGAAUUUUCCUCUUUCA